UCAAUGACCCCCUAAAUAGCCGCAGUCCCCUGUGCUAAGGUAGCAUAAUCAAUAGUCUAUUAAUUAUAGAAUAGAAUGAAUGGCUAAACGUUUUAUUCUAUUACCCUAGUCCUUUAAAAACCUAUAUUUCAGAGUUAAAAUUCUCCCUCCCCCUAGAAAGACGACAAGACCCUAAUAAACUUAAACUUAACGUUUAACUGGGGCGGUUAUCUAACAACUUCUUAAACCACCAUUAAUAUAAAUCCUACCUAUAUCAUUAGUUACUAUAGGGAUAACAGCAUAAUUUUUAUUUAAAGAUCCUAUUCAAAUAAAAGCUUAUGACCUCGAUGUUGAAUUAUUUUCCUACUAUAAGUAAAAAUAUAGUCAAGUGAGUCUGUUCGACCC
rnacentral:rRNA from 1 species